CACGUAGGGGCCAAGCGUUGUCCGGAUUUAUUGGGCGUAAAGAGCUCGUAGGCGGUUGGGUAAGUCGGGUGUGAAAACUCCGGGCUCAACUCGGAGACGCCACCCGAUACUGCUCUGACUUGAGUCCGGUAGGGGAGUGGGGAAUUCCUGGUGUAGCGGUGAAAUGCGCAGAUAUCAGGAGGAACACCGGUGGCGAAGGCGCCACUCUGGGCCGGAACUGACGCUGAGGAGCGAAAGCGUGGGGAGCAAACAGG
rnacentral:rRNA from 1 species